AUCUACAGCCAUGCCAUCCUGAACGCGCUCAAUCCCAUCUGAUCUCAGAAGCUAAGCAGGGUCCGGCCUGGUUAGUACUUGGAUGAGAGACCACCUAGGAAGACCAGGUGCUGUAGGCC
rnacentral:rRNA from 1 species